AAUCAACAGAACUCCAACUCCUGUUCUUAAUGAAAAAUCUACAUUUCAAGUGUUAUAUAAUGAACUUCCUGAUUAUUCUUUUUUAAGAGUCUUUGGUUGUAUUUGUUAUCCCUUUUUGGGUCAUUCUAGAGCAGAUAAAUUGUCACCAAAAUCUGUUAAAUGCAUCUUCAUUGGAUAUAGUACUUUACACAAAGGCUAUUCUUAUGAGGACGCUUAGGGGAGAAGGAGUUGGGAGGGGGGCGUGAUGACACUCUGAGAGCAAGCAACAUCCUUCGAUCAGGAAUUCAGCCAUUUAGAAAAGCCUCAGUGUGUGCAUCCUUGAGAAGCCAUGAAGAUGGGUCCGUAUAUAACUAUUCGAAUCUAAGCUUUUUCUUGCCCAGGCUAGGUUGUUUCUAAGAAUAUAUACAGACAUCAUUCUGGCAGAUGAUUCAUUUUGUUAUUUUAUCUAUUAUUCAGUCUACUAUUUAGACGUAAUGUUGGAACCCAAUGAGCCUCUGCUCCUAAUAUUCAGACUUGAUUAUUUUUUUACUGUAAGAAUCGUAUUAUAUGAAA